rnacentral:rRNA from 1 species
AGCAGCCGCGGUAAUUCCAGCUCCAAUAGCGUAUAUUAAAGUUGUUGCAGUUAAAAAGCUCGUAGUUGAACUUCAGGCCUGGCUGGACGGUCCGCCCUCUGGGUGAGCACUGUCUGUGGUCGGGUCCUACCUUCUGGCGAAGCGGCAUGGCCUUAACCGGCCGUGGCGGGGAACCAGGACUUUUACUGUGAAAAAAUUGAGUGUUCAAAGCAGGCACGCGCUUGAAUACAUUAGCAUGGAAUAACGGAAUAGGACAAUGGUUCUAUUUGUUGGUUUCUAGGACCGUUGUAAUGAUUAAUAGGGAUAGUUGGGGGCAUUAGUAUUCAAUUGUCAGAGGUGAAAUUCUUGGAUUUAUUGAAGACUAACUACUGCGAAAGCAUUUGCCAAGGNUGUUUUCAUUAAUCAAGAACGAAAGUUAGGGAUCGAAGACGAUCAGAUACCGUGUAGUCUUAACCAUAAACUAUGACCGACUAGGAAUCGGGGACGUAGUGUUGAACAAGUGACGCGCUCGGCACCUACG